GGGGACGACUGGUUUUGACAGCGAGGGAAUCUAACCGUAAGCAUGUCGAGUAAUGAAACACAUCUCGUUAAACUUUGUUUCAACUUUUUUAAACGGCGAAAAUAAUUACGCUUUAGCUGCUUAAUUCUGAAUCACAGUAGGAAUUGGCCUAGUCUCACCAGGUGAGAAUGCUAAACAUCUCCGCGAAGCCUUGGUUUAUGGCGUUGCAUUUAGAGGUGUCGUAAAAGUAAACCUAGAGUCAACUUUGCUUCAAAGGAGGCUCGAAACUCUUCGAAGCUAAGUCUAAAGUAGGUUGUUUUUGAUCAGCUUUAGAACAAAAAUUAAGCAAAAACUAAGCAUGUAGAAAGCUGUGCGAUUACUUGUUUGGACCCGGGUUCGAUUCCCGGCGUCUCCACAG
rnacentral:tmRNA from 1 species